AAGACGUGGCGUCCCAUUAUUAAUUAGUCUAACGGCGCGCGAGAUAAGGCAAAAGGAGAAGAGAACUUUUAGCACGACGGAUCCGGAAAUGGCUUUAGAAGUUCCCGGAGUAAUGUCUUAUUUGGCAGAUCCCGCCCGGAUCGCGGCGUUUUAAUGUGUGAGGUAGUUAACCUAACUUCAGACCUUUCUGAUUCUUCUUCUUCGCCAUGGGCUGAGCUUGCAAUAUCUUUCGUAAUACUGUAAAUUCGUAGUCAGAUUUGUAUUACUUUCUCUUAUUCCCCUCAUUUUUUUUAUCUUGUUAAAUAUCUAGUGUGUUUCCAUGAAUUUAGGUUCUUGCUGAAGCAAAUAUAAGUCCUACUGAACAGAAAGUAUGGUAUUCUUCUAUCUACAAUUUUGAGACACUGAAAUUGAAUGGGAAAAUUCUACACUGACUUUUGUUUUUCACAUUUAUGUCCUAACUGAAGUUGGUGAAGGUCAGUUGUCAAAGUUAAUUUACCUAAAAAGAUUGAGUUAGACAUCUUUGAAUUUAGAGUGUAAAAACAAGAAAUUGUAGUUUCAAUAUUCUUAUUAAGAAUAUGUCUAUUUAUUUAAGUGUUUGACUCUUAUCUCGUUAAUUGUUUAUGGUUGAUUCUGUUCAUCUUUGAAGCUCUUUUAUCAGAAAAUUAAUUCAUUAAUCAUGCAGUCAAGACCUGCAAUUUUCAUUUUCGUUUUCAUGUAUGGGUUUUUCUUGUCAGAAAAUUUGGUCAGUGCUGUUUGCAGUGAUAGGGAGAUUGAAGCUCUCCUAAACUUCAAACAAGACUUGGUGGAUUCUUCGGAUUUUCUCUCUAAUUGGGUUGGUAAAGACUGUUGCAAAUGGAAUGGAGUAGUUUGCAAUACAAAAACUGAAAAUACUAGUGUUGUUCAGCUCAACGUGCAAGGAUUUGGCUUAGAUGGUAUGUUAAACCCUUCACUGGUACAGUUAGAGAAUUUGAAUUAUUUAGAUUUAAGUUCAAAUACUUUUUCCGAAACCUCGUUACCAUCUUUCUUGGGUUCAUUACGUAAUUUGAGAUACCUUAAUCUGUCUAGAAGUUUUGAUAGUGUCGAAAAUAUUCAUUGGCUUUCUAAUCUCUCUUCUUUGCAAUAUCUUGAUAUGUCUUAUGUUGACUUAGAAAAUGCAUCAUCUAAUUGGUUUCACGCAGUUACUAUGAUUCCAUCUUUAUUAGAACUACAUCUACGCUACUGUAACCUGUAUCCAAACUUUCCUUCUAUUUCAUACUCAAAUCUCACUUCUCUUAAAGUUCUUGAUCUUAGUUACACUGGUCUCAAUUCAACCUUGCCUGAAUGGUUCUAUAAUCUUACAAGUCUUGAGAAACUUGAUAUUCAUUACAAUAGUUUUCGAGGAACCAUUUCAGAAGCUAUUGGUAACCUUGUCAAUCUCACUAACCUCGACAUCUCUUCCAAUGAUUUUGAGGGAGAAAUACCAGAAACCUUUGGAAAUCUUUGCAACUUGCAGGCAUUAGACUUGUCAAGUAACUACCACCUCAAGGGUGAAAUAUAUUUUUUAGCUAAUCUGUCCAGUUGCACAGGAAGUAAGUUGACAUCGGUAAGUUUGGAUGGUAAUCAAUUUUCAGGUCCAUUGCCAGAUCAGUUAGGGAGUUUUAAGAAUCUUGAGUACCUUUCUUUUAUGAGUAAUUCAUUUUCUGGUCCGAUUCCGUCAUCGUUAGGUGACCUGUCGUCAUUGAAGGUGUUAAAUGGUUUUUUCAAUAAGUUGAAUGGUUCUUUACCGGAAAGUUUUGGACAUCUUUCGAAAUUGAGAAUUUUGAGACUUGCCUUUAAUGCUCUAGAAGGCAUAAUAAGUGAAGCUCAUUUCUCAAGUCUGACGAGUCUGGAAGAACUAGAAGUGCAUUCUCUAGUUUUUAAGUUGAAACCUGAUUGGAUUCCUCCAUUUCAACUUCAGGUUGCAAACUUGCAAGCUUGUAAACUAGGACCUCAAUUCCCUGAAUGGUUACAAACACAAAAAAAUAUAAGUCGAAUUGAUAUAUUUAAUGCAGGCAUUUCAGAUACAGUUGUUCCUACUUGGUUUUGGAAUAUGUCUACUCAGUUCAGUUACUUAAAUUUAUCUCACAAUCAGAUUCAUGGACAAGUACCAGAUUUGUUACUUCGGGAUGAUCCGUGAGGGUGACUAGUUUACUUGAAUUCGAACCAUUUUGUGGGUAAAUUGCCCAGAAUAUCACCUGGUGUGGGAGAAUUGGAUCUUUCUGAUAACUUAUUUAAUGGAUCAAUUUCUGUUUUGCUAUGCAAUCCAUUAGGCAACAUGAAUAAUCGAAUUCUUGAUCUCUCGAGAAACCAAUUAUCUGGAGAAAUUCCUGAUUGCUGGUCUGACUGGUGGAAUCUGGUAUCGAUAAGUUUGGCAAGCAAUUACCUUACAGGAGAGAUUCCGGCAUCUAUCGGUUCUAUAAGCACCCUUCGAUCACUGCAUCUGCGAAAUAAUUCUCUUUCAGGAAAAUUACCUUCAGCAUUGCUCAAGUGUAGGGAACUGAGAGUGAUUGAUAUUAGUGAGAAUGAGUUCACUGGGAACAUACCAAAAUGGAUUGGGGAGUACUUGUUUCUCCUUAUCUUUCGAUUACGCUUCAAUAAGUUUUAUGGCGCUAUUCCUCAACAACUGUGUCACCAGAAUUCAGUUCAAAUUUUGGAUUUUGCUCAUAACAAUCUAUCAGAAUAUAAAGAGAUCGCAUCUCUGGUGACAACAGGAAGAGAGUUUGAAUACAGCAAUACUCUUACACUUCUUACAAUCAUGGACCUAUCUGACAACAGUUUAUCAGGUGACAUUCCUGGAGAACUAACAAAUUUGAUUGGUUUACGGUCUUUGAAUUUAUCGCGUAAUCAUUUAACAGGAAGAAUUCCAAACAAGAUUGGCAACAUGAGCAUAUUGGAGUCUCUUGAUUUGUCAAAAAACAAACUUUCAGGUUCUGUUCCUCAAAGUAUAGUAAACUUAACCUUUCUAAGUCACUUGAACUUGUCGUAUAACAACUUGUCGGGGAAAAUUCCGGUGGGUACUCAACUACAAGGUCUGCCUGAAUCGAGUUUCGUUGGUAAUGGAAGACUCUGUGGUGCUCCACUAAAUGACUGCAAUGUUGGCGAUGUUGAAGAUAAACAAGGACUAGGAAGUGUUGAUAAUGAAACAGAAAAAGAAAAAGAAGAAUGGUUUGAAAUGAAGUGGUUUUAUAUUAGCGUAGCCUUGGGUUUUGCUAUAGGCUGUUGGGGAUUUUGUGGUGUUUUACUUGUGAAUCAAUCAUGGAGAGUUGCAUAUUUUAAGUUCCUUGAUGUUAUUGCAAUCAAAUUAUGUAAUUGUUGUAGUAGAUCUACACCAAGAUAAUCAACACCAGAAACUAAAUGAAUGCAAGCCUUAAACAUCGAAUUGUAAUUAAUAUUAUUACAAGCCAUACAAUUUUUUUGUAAUAUCAA